CCAUCACGACGAACAUCACCCAGUCCCAAAUGGGCACCCUGGUUGCCUGUGGUAAGUGACUUAUUUAUUUGCCUCUCUCUGGCCAGCAAGUAGCUUUGUUCAAGAAAAAAAAAAAAAAAAAAAAAAAACCUGACCACAUACAGAUCCUCAAUCUAGAAAAGAAAUCAGAAUUCACUGUUUUUUCUGAAUCACUUAAUUUCCCUUAAGUUGAAUAGAUGACAUGUUUGGCCUUCAGACGGUGUGGAUUAUGAAAAGUCAAGCACUCUAACACUUGGCAGCAGAGGCUUCAUGGAAUACCUACUCCCCACCUCUGCCAAUAACAUUUUUAAGGAGAUUCGGUUUGAUUAAACUAUACAAGGUAAAUAAUGAAUCCAGCCUGCCCAGGAUAUAUCAGGUUGCAUAGUGUGAUGAAACACAUACCAUCCUGAAUGUUCUUCCAAAAGAACAUGUACAGAAAAUGCUGUCCUUCUGCCAGAAUACAGGCUCCUUGCCAACCCCCACCACUCUCCACCUUGAGACCAAACACUCAGCAAGCUGAAGCUUGCAGGCCACGGUGACUGGCUCCAUGCUGCCUUGGGAAGCCCUACAUGACCUCUACAUGGUCCUUCUUCAGUAUGUGAAGUACAGAGGCAACACCAGGACAUUUUGAAGGGCAAAAGAAGGUUCAAUGGGGCAAUUUCCAAGGCAUCUUGCUCCACUGCUGGUAAGCAAUUAGCAGGCUUUCUACAGGGACUUCUCAAAAGAGGAUCCAGAAGGCAGGCUCAGCAUUGCAGCCUGGCUGCAGGCCACAGUGUGGCAGACGCAUGUAUUCAUGGGCAUGUCAAAUACAUCACUUCAAUACGAAAUUCAUAGGCCCAACAUUCAUCUGCGAGAUUGAACACUGGGUAGCUCAAAAGCUAGUCUUCUGAAAGCAUCCUACAAAACACCCGAAGUUGCCGUUCCAGAAUUGCUAUAAUUUCACGACUGUGCAAGCUGUACUAGUAGUACACAGGCAAAGGGAUAGAAAAAAGAUUAUAUUAAUGCUCAAGGGGGAAAAGCAAGAUUAUAAAGGACUUAGCAGAGCUAUGUUCUGAUAAUAAACCAAGAGCAUUUAGGACCCAACCUAGAAAAAAAUGGAUUUACAGCCGAAGUCUUUCCUGUUUGGGGCUACAGCAUCAUUCUGUCAUUCUAACCACAUUUAUCCUGAACCUCCCCCCACCACCCGCUGCCCAUGUGCUGGCCACCGUGCUGGGAUCAACAAAACUGAAUGAGACACAGGACCUGAUACUGGGGAGCUGACCAUCUAGCAGGUGACGUAUGGAUGGAUGAAGCAUCUUAGGACAUCUAAAGAAAGAGAUCACUCCUCCAUACUGCUGAUCUUCGCUGAGUUCCUUCCCCUCUUCUAUCUUGCUCCUCUCACUCCCUAGUCGAUAUUUCCUGAGAACACCUCUUCAGUAAAGCACACACAUCCAAAUCCUAUCCAAGGCUUUGCUUCUAGGAGCCCAUCCUAGAAGGCAGUAGGCCCCUGGCUUUCCCUCAUUCAGCUGCACAGAUCCUAAAGUUGACCUCCAGAUA
rnacentral:lncRNA from 1 species